AAUCAACGCUGGCGGCGUGCCUAACACAUGCAAGUCGAACGCGAGAGUCCCGCAAGGGACAAUUGAGUGGCAAACGGGUGAGUAACACGUGGGUGACCUGCCUUCGAGUGGGGGAUAACGUCCCGAAAGGGACGCUAAUACCGCAUGACAUCCUGCCUUUGGACAGGCGGAGAUCAAAGCCGGGGAUCGCAAGACCUGGCGCUUGAAGAGGGGCCCGCGUCUGAUUAGCAGUUGGUGAGGUAACGGCUCACCAAGGCGACGAUCAGUAUCCGGCCUGAGAGGGCGGACGGACACACUGGGACUGAGACACGGCCCAGACUCCUACGGGAGGCAGCAGUGGGGAAUUGUUCGCAAUGGGGGCAACCCUGACGAAGCAACGCCGCGUGGGGA
rnacentral:rRNA from 1 species